rnacentral:lncRNA from 13 species
UCUUAGUUUGUCUGCCUAGAGGCUGUUCUCUGUCUGUCUGACGGGAGGCUGCUAUCUGUCUGUGUGCCCGGGAGGCUGUUGUCUGUCUGCCGGGAGGCUGCUCUCUGUCUGUCUGCCGGGAGGCUGCUCUCUGUCCAUCUGCCGGGAGGCUGCUGUCUGUCUGCCGGGAGGCUGCUGAUGCUGCAGCAGCUCAGUGUUGCGUGGGCCGGAGGUAGCAGGAGUUAUGAGACAGACAGGGAAGACUAAUGGCCAUGCUAGGCAUUAUCUCAUAAAGAGUUGUGUGGCGCCAUGGAAUACUGAGGCCCCUGAUUCAGCACUGUGCCUGCUCUCUGCUUCUGGCAUCACAAUCACUCCACCAACCUUCUGUCUCUCUCUCUCUUCAAUCUCCUGUUCAAACCUUUGCCCAUUUCCACAUUCUCUCAUUCUCCGUCAAAGAUAUUGGACCUAACCUAUUUCCUAUUCUUUCUUUUACCUCAUCCUGUUCAAAGUUUCCGUCUGCUUAUUGCUAUUUCUGAACCACUUUACUUUUCCUUUUACCUCUCUGUAACAUUAGGCUGUAAACGUUUCUAUGUAGGCUAAUCUCCACUUCCAACAGGGUCAGGUCAGUUGUGUAUUUGCCUGUGUAAGCUGGUAGCUGUGUCACUGCUCUUGUGGGCGUGGUGAGUGUUUUGUUUUGACUCACAGUAUCUUCUCCCUGCCCUCUUACCUCUGCUCCUCUGCUCACUAUCCUGUUGGCUCCACUGUACCCUGCUGUUCAAACUCCAUUCUCAUCUCCACACUGCCAGCCCUGCCAGAGACCACGUCGCCAGCCUUUUGGAUUCUGUUUACUUGCUGUGGAGAGAGACAGAGACAGAGCGAGAGGGAGUUAGGGGGAUAGAAAGAGAGAGAAGGAUAGAGCGUGAGAAAGAGAAGGAUAGAGACAGACAUUAGCGGGCAGCUGACUGCGUCUGAUUACAUGACCUGUGUGUGUGUAACAGGCCCCCAGGAGGAGGCUUUGCUGGGCUCGGCGGGGACAGGAUGGGCGUCCUCAGAGGAGCUAUCGGAUCAGGCCUCUCAGGCACAGCACCUGGAGCAGCUAGCCCAGCUCUGCAUCGUGAGUAAAAGACCUCAUCUUGCUUUAGAGUACAGUGGGAAAGCCACUAAGAUCCAUCAGAGGGCCUUUGGCAACGACCACCCCAUCACAGACAGGAGUCUGGAGCUGCUGGCCACCGUCUACGCAGAGAUCGGCAAGACAGAAUACUCAGACUCCCUGGACCAGUGUGUGUCAGUGCUGUCCAAGAGGUUUGCUGCUGCCGAGUCCUUCAGAGACAAACUCAACAACGGUCUUCCCCAUUCCCACUCCCAUUCCCAUCGGGAGAAACACACUGAGGUCUGGCACAGGAAAGACCCCAGUCCACAGGAUGACACACCAAAACCGAAGGUCACCAACGGUAAAAUCCCUACGUCCAUACUGAAGAGGUCUGGCUCAGGAUCAGACUCGGAGCCCAGCCACAGAUGGAAAGGCGAGCGACGGGUCCGGUUCCGGGAGCCUGAGACCACUGUGCAUGACGUUCCAUACUAUGACUGUUUAGUUGCCUAUGACACGUCACCGCCACGCCCCCACCUGGCCCUGUUCACCUGCUUGUUCCUGCUGAUGUCACUGCUGGGCGUGGUCAUGUACAGCACGGACCGCCGGCGCCCACAGCGUGUGUGUGAGGAGCUGGAGGCCUCAUUGGCUGUCUAUCUGAUACACAUGAAACAGCUGCUGUGGGGCUGCUGGAUCUGGCUAACCAUGCAGUGACUGGGAGCCACCGAAGGGGGAGAUGUGGAGUAGUGAAUUCACUCUCUUCCUCACUACAUGUCCCUUAAGGUGUCCUUACCCAGCUUGGUCCACGAGCACACCUCAGUCAUACACACUGACUAUCUAUCUAUGGUGUUGAGAUGUGCACCCCUACUGCUACGCUCACACCCAUAUAUGGAGAAAUGUGUAAUCUCAGAGAUACAGUACGUAUCCUCCACACCUGUACACUGGUGGUGGGUAUGCAGCCAUGUUUGUUUUAUCGAUAAGACGUUUUGCACAUCAGCAAUGUUGACGCUCACUGAUUAUGCUCACUUAAUUGCUACAAUCAUUUACAUUUUCCAUUCUUGACAAAAUCUAUUGUAUGUGAGUAAAUGUUUAAUGGAUUGCAAAAUCAAUUGUAUUUAUUUUAUUACAGUACUACAGUACGUAAUUUUGUGUACUUAAAAGAUUACUACAGAUAUGAAUGUCUAUAUACCGUAUAGUAAGGAUUAUCACAAUAUUACGCCUUGUUAUUGCACAUAAUUGAAUGUAGAAAAUGUGAAAACUGCUUUGAAUUGGCAAAAAAAAACACCCUUACUGUCUAAAAUAAGGAUUAUAGAUUGAGUCAAGCACAAUGUGAACACCUUUUAAAAAGGAUUUCUGAAACAGACACAGGACUGCUUCAAUUCACAGUGCCAGGUUGAUCUAGCAAAUUGUUUGACAAAGCCAUCUUUCUUUUACAGCAUAAGAACUGUAGUCUGACCAUUUUUAGGUCAGAUAAAUGUUGUGAUCCCAGUUGGACAAAGAUGACAACUUCAGCACAAUAAUAUGAAUGCUCUCUUUCCUGGGAAUGUACUCAAAUUCAAAGAGUGAUUAUGACAGUGUACCUCUUGGUAAAUGCUAAAAUGCCACAAGUAAUAUCCUCUUGUUACGGUGCGUGAAUGAGGACCCAAAAGCGAAUUAACGUAAACAGAGCUUCUUUAAUGACAAAACAUAGGUAGGCUCAGAUGGACCGGCAGAUUCCGACAGGACAGGGUUGCAGCAAACAUGACGAUAGUCUGGUUCAGGCAUGAAUAACACAAACAAGAAUCCGACAAAGACAGGAGCAAAAACAGAGAGAGAUAUAGAGGACUAAUCAGAGGGAAAAAGGGAACAGGUGGGAAAAGGGGUGACGAGGUAGUUAGGAGGAGACAAGGAACAGCUGGGGGAAAGAGGGGGAGAAAAGGUAACCUAAUAACGACCAGCAGAGGGAGACAGGGUGAAGGGAAAGGACAGAAACAAGACACAACAUGACAAUACAUGACAGUACCCCCCCACUCACCGAGUGCCUCCUGGCGCACUCGAGGAGGAAACCUGGCGGCAACGGAGGAAAUCCUCGAUCAGCGCACGGUCCAGCACGUCCCGAGAGGGAACCCAACUCCUCUCCUCAGGACCGUACCCCUCCCAAUCUACUAGGUACUGAUGACCACGGCCCCGAGGACGCAUGUCCAAAAUCCUACGGACCCUGUAGAUGGGUGCGCCCUCGACAAGGAUGGGGGGGGG